CACUAAGUAGCUGAAUUGGGUACAGCGUUAGCCUUUUAAGCUAAAGUAUGGUGGCUCCCACCCACCCAUAGUGA
rnacentral:tRNA from 1 species